AUUGAACGCUGGCGGCAGGCCUAACACAUGCAAGUCGAACGAGUGGCGGACGGGUGAGGAAUGUCUGGGAAACUGCCUGAUGGAUGGGUAUAACUACUGGACACGGUAGCUAAUAACGCAUACCAUCAGAUGUGCCCAGAUGGGAUUAGCUAGUUGGGGGGGUAACGGCUACUCAAGGCGACGAUCCCUAGCUUGUCUGAGAGGAUGACCAGCCAAACUGGACCUGAGAAACGGUCCAGACUCCUACGGGAGGCAGCAGUGGUGAAUAUUGCACAAGGGGCGCAAGCCUGAUUCAGCCAUGCCGCGUGGAUGAAGAAGGCCUUAGGGUUGUAAAGUACUUUCAGCGGGGAGGCGUUACCCGCAGAAGAAGCACCGGCUAACUCCGUGCCAGCAGCCGCGGUAAUAC
rnacentral:rRNA from 1 species